CCAGUUUGAUCCUGGAAUCAGGAUGAACGCUAGCGGCAGGCUUAACACAUGCAAGUCGAGGGGUAGGUUACUUCGGUAACUGAGACCGGCGCACGGGUGCGUAACGCGUAUACAAUCUCCCUUUUACAGAGGGAUAGCCCAGAGAAAUUUGGAUUAAUACCUCCAUAGUAUUUUUGAAUGGCAUCAUUUGAUUAUUAAAGUUCCACCGGUAAAAGAUGAGGUAUGCGUCCCAUUAGCUAGAUGGUAAGGGUAACGGCUUACCAUGGGCUACGAUGGGUAGGGGUCCUGAAGAGGGGGAUCCCCCACACUGGUACUGAGACACGGAACCAGACUCCUACGGGAGGCAGCAGUGAGGAAUAUUGGACAAUGGGCGCAAGCCUGAUCCAGCCAUGCCGCGUGCAGGAAGAAGGUCCUAUGGAUUGUAAACUGCUUUUAUACAGGAAGAAACACCUUCUACGUGUAGAGACUUGACGGUACUGUAUGAAUAAGGACCGGCUAACUUCCGUGCCAGCAGCCGCGGUAAUACGGAGGGUCCAAGCGUUAUCCGGAAUCAUUGGGUUUAAAGGGUCCGUAGGCGGCCAAAUAAGUCAGUGGUGAAAGCCCAUCGCUCAACGAUGGAACGGCCAUUGAUACUGUUUGGCUUGAAUUAUUAGGAAGUAACUAGAAUAUGUAGUGUAGCGGUGAAAUGCUUAGAGAUUACAUGGAAUACCAAUUGCGAAGGCAGGUUACUACUAAUAUAUUGACGCUGAUGGACGAAAGCGUGGGGGAGCGAACAGGAUUAGAUACCCUGGUAGUCCACGCCGUAAACGAUGGAUACUAGCUGUUCGGAGCAAUCUGAGUGGCUAAGCGAAAGUGAUAAGUAUCCCACCUGGGGGAGUGCGUUCGCAAGAAUGAAACUCAAAUUGAAUUGCCGG
rnacentral:rRNA from 1 species